AAAAAUGUUGAUUCCCACAAAAAAAACUACCCUAUGCAAAAUAUCAGCUCAAUCGGACUCCAUUUACUAGUGUAGCACAGCAGUCAAAGUUUGACUUUUUUAAAAACCAAAAAAUCACCCAAAGGGGGAGUAAAGGAAAACGGGGUUUUCGAAUUUUUUUUUAUGUCAAAUGUCUUCCGAAUUGCAUGAAAUGUUAUCUCGAAAAAAAUGUUGUUCAAAAAUCGACACUCUGGGAACGUUUUUACGGAAUACGAGGCAAAACGUAUCAUAGGAUGCCAAGGAAAAUCGUCAUAUCGAUUUUUCAUACAGGACUUCCUGCGAAAUGUUGAUUUGCACGAUAAAAUACCCUCUGCAUAGUAUUAACUCAUACGGGCUUUAUUUACUAUUGUCACAGAUCUCCAAAUCUUAGUUUUCUGAAAAUCGAAAAAUCACCCAAGGGGGGAGUAAAGCAAAUUGGGAUUUUCAAAAAAAAAAAAAUGAUUCCAAAUGGCUUAGAAUUGCAUGAAACGUCGAGAUUUACUGUUAUCUCGAAACAAAUUUUUUGUCAAAAAUUGUCUUUUCGGCACUUGGUCGUUUUUGUCUGAAAAGUCGAAUGUCGAUUUUUGACAAAAAAUAAUUUUCGAGAUAACAGUAAAUAUGUAUAUGUUAGAGGCAAAAAAGAAAAUCAACUUUCUACACCAAAAGCGUUCAAGACAACUUUGCUUGCGUGUUGGUGUAUCAUGAAGUGCGAACAGAAGCAGAGUUGUCUCGUUCUCUUUUGUGUCGUGAUUUGUAGCACCUAACAACAAAAGAAUGCCGCGGGGGAAAUAAUUUCUGUAAGAUCAUAUGUGAACGAACGGUAACGAUUUAUUCAGUGAAUGGAUCAAUUGGCAAACACUGGCCUUGGCAUCUCCGGAGAGAUAUCAUCGAAUAUUUAGCGACGCUCACUUCGAGGAAGUUUAUAGUGCACCCACACGCAAUACAAUCCCAAGAGCUUCUACAGUUCUCUACAGCCAACUGCACUUCAAACAACAAGAAAAAAUUUCAGAUAAUCGAAAAAUCAGCAACAGAUUUUCCGUUCAAGAAAAUAUUUGCGUUUUCAAUUCCCUUGUUUCAAACAUUUGUUCACUUUCCUUAAAUACUUAACGGUAUGCCUACACUGCGAAUUCCUGAACUGGUACUUCUUGGUGUCUAUUUUGGGUGGUUAUCAUCUAAAAGUUCUGAACAUUUAAGAGCGAUUUUAUAAUUGCCAGAAUUAGGCGAUUUUAAUUGUGCCAUUGAAACAUACAAAUCAUGAUGAAGUUUCCUGUAGAAUGAAUGAAAGAUACCCUUAUUAUUAAUUUUUUUUUCAAUAAAAAAAAUCAAUUUAGACGCAUCCUUGUUUAUCCAAAUUUUAAUCGUAACACUGGCUGAAAAUUGUAAAAAAAUAUUUUUAGUAAUCAUUCAGAUAAUUUACAAAAUAUUCAAAACCGGUCCGAAAUGAACUCAGGUCUGGGCGUUUUCCUUGAACAGCAUUUUUGAAUAGCAUUUUGUCAACAUUUCAACCAGUAUCCUAAAUGAAUAUCCAUCACAAGACAGACAGGCUAGACUUGUACUCCGAAAAUCCAGAAUACCUCCGUUGAUAAUAUAAGAGCUGCAUCAUAGAGUUAUGUUGAUUUCCAGUACAAGGAGAACUGAAGUCGGGUAUUUCCAGCAUUUCAUCAAAACGUAUGCGGCAACAGUACAUGAAAAAAUUAAUGAAAUGAAUUGUGUGUAAAUUUUAUAUUUGAUAUGAUGUUUUUUCUUCUCGGUUUCAAAGCAGCAUCAUCCUAUUGUAAGUGUCCAACCUCUGGAACCUCCGGUUGAAUGGUUACAUAAUUUUUCCAGUUUAUGUUAUUUUCCCAAAAGCGUUCACGCUCACUAAGCACACUCACGACUCGUAGAUAAGCACCGAUUAAGGGGAUCAUUCGAUGGGUUUCUCACAAUGUUAUCUCUCACUCUCCAACAUCCUCCGCGUUCAAAAACACGCUUUCGCGGGUGAAGUUUAUGCCCGAUGUGGCCGAGCAAAAGCUAUACCCGCCCCCAUCAACUUAAAUUGAAGGUUCAUGCUGUAAUGUACGAUGUAAACAUUCCGAACAUGAUUUUCGAAUACGUUUUUGAAAAUGAAACAAUUGAUGAUUCUUUAUGAUCGAAGUAAAUCAAAUCGCCUGUACGAACUUAGUUUGGACUACCAGAAUGAAAGACUCAUCACCCCCUACAGUGGUUUUAUUGCCAGCGGAUGAGAGAAACAAGACUAUUGGUAUCUUAUAGAACAUCUACUGAGUUACCUGGUUAUAUGUGCAAUGUGUUUAGCAUAGCCUAAAUCGUAUUCAAAUACAGCGCGGACCCGAUUAUAUACAGUUUCUGAUUUCUUUUCACUGUAUAUAAUCGAAUCCUGUAUAAAAUCGAGUCAAAAAAAAUUUUUUAUUAAUUUUUUUUCCAUGUAUUUUUUGUUUUUUUUUUAAAUAUAAAAGAGGUAUUUGAUUUUACAUUCAUCCCCUUAAAGUCAGAAAACACUUUUCUCACAUGAAAAAAGAAAAUUUAUCCAGAUUCUCUCAGCCAUAUUUUUUUUCCGAACUGUUUAUAAUCGAGUCAAAAAUUGUAUAUAAUCGAAUCACAUAUAAUCGGGUCUGUAUAUAAUAAUGUCCAACCUGUAUAUGUAACAAGAAUUCAAUGUACAGUGAAUACCCGAAAAUUGAAUUUGUUAUUAACUAUAGCCGACACUCGUUACGAUGUCCGGAAUUCAACUUACGACGUAACCUCCGAAUGUUGGAAAGGUUAUUGCACAAAUUUAUAUGAAAUUAAUAUUUACGAAUAAAUAAACAGAACAGGUUGAAGGUCAAGUUAUAAUUAAGAAGCGGAUUCCAAUUCACACAUUCAUACGACAACUAAGUUCAUUCAAUAACACUAUUUCAAACCUAGGUCGGUUUGUGAGUCAGUUGGUGAGCUAUGUUAUGUCCUAUUGAUCGCGGAAAACAUUUAUUCACUCUUUAGUGUUUCGUCGUCAUGGCCCACGAUGGCCACGAAUCUGGCGCAUUUUUUAUCAUUUCAAGGUUGCAACACUUGUUACGCUUCAUAGUCGUUAUUCGUAACCGCGUGUUUGUUACGAAUCAACUCGACAUAUGACAAUUUUUAGACAAUUCAGAAACAAUUUGACUUAACGGAGUUCAGUGGAUUUAUAUUUAUUGACUAAAAUAGUUAUGCAAGCAUCCUGGUUAGAGGAUAUACGAUGCUUGCUUUAUAUGAUGGAUGUUGUGAUAUCACUUUUUGCGACCUGUCAUCACGCUAAUCAAAUGAAUGAACGUGUUGAGCCCCAUAUAUUUUUGUAGAGAUCAGUGUUUUACUAGAGACGAAUGACUGCAAAGUUUAUAGCUUCUUCAAUACAAAAAGUGAAAUAAAGAGCGUUUUAUGGGUGGCAAAAAUGAAACAAUAUUUACAUCACUCAUAACAUCACAUUGUCAUUGUCAUAACAUCACAAAUAUUAGGAAACCUAAAUUUUAACGCCCCCAUUAGGCAUCUGAGAAACUCUAACAUUCUCUACACAGAUUACAGAAGAACAAAUUACGGUGAAUAUAGUCCUAUCAAUCGUAUGAUGAGUCUCUGUAACGAAUACAGUGAAAUAAUUAACGUAACCAUGUCAGGGUCAAUGCUUAAGACUAUCUGAAUAGAAUGAGAUAUAGUUAAGUUUACCGUCAUUAUUAUAUUUGAGCAACAUAUAUAAUCUACGCUGGUUUGAUGAAAUAAAUAAAUAAAUAAACAAAUCUUUCUAUUUUGUGACGUCCUUUAAAUUAAAUGAAAUGAAUUAAUAAUCCAGCUACCUUUUGUUAGCUUCAAGUAAGCAGUAUUAAGUAGUAUUAAGAAUGUCAAAUUACAUGUUCUACAUAGAUAGACGAUUAAUAAAUAAAUCAUCAACUAAACUUUAAUUCAAUACACAUUGUUAAAAAAAAUACAUUAUAAGUUUCAAAAUUGUUAUUCCAUAUUUUGUGACACGUUUUUUUCAGAACCGUAUUAAAUCUGGAAUGACACGCUAUUUGUAAAAACUCUCAUUAAUCUGUUUUAUUCUUCGGAUGAUAUUUUGCAACAACAUCUUUCACAAUCUUGAAGUCUGCGUUGACUAAUUCAAUAAUUCUUUAUUAUCAUGUUCAAACCAUCAUUUGUCGCCAUAAAUCAUAGUAUCUGGUCGGUUGUGGUGGGUCAAGAGAUCGAUCAGUGCGAUUCUAAUACGGUCAUUAGGGUGGCAGUGAAAAUGAUCAUGUCAAAUUUCAAAAACCGAUCAUGUACAUUUUGUUUAUAGGCUCCAAAAAAAUGACCUUUGCAAAAUGUCAACUUCAAUAAGCUGACAUUAAGGACAUUAUUUUUAGAUCCAGAAGGUCGACCAAAUUUUUUUUUUCGGUUAUGAUUUUUAAGUCAUUUUGCAUCGAAAACAAAGAAAACAAAGCCCCAAAAAUAAUACCCAAUUGAGCUGAAAUUUGCACAGGUCAUUUUUUGGGCCAAUAAACAAAAUGUACAUGGUCGGUUUUUGAAAUUCGAUGAUGAAAUUUUUGCCACCCUAACGAUCAUUUUCCAGGCGGGAGCGAACAUACCGGUUGAAACUUCUUUGUUAUAGACUCUUAUGGCAUAUCUAAUGACCCCGUUGUGCACCCGUGACCGAGUGGUUAGCGUCUCACAUUAUCAUGCCGGGUGUUCGGGUUCGAUUCCCGUUCUGUCCGAAGGAUUUUUCGUAAAAAGAAAAUUCCUCCGACUUGCACUGUGGUCACGCGUAUUCAAGAGCUUGCCCCUCGGAAUACAUUCAAGGCGUGUUACUUGGCUUAAGAAAUCUCAACUAAGUAUUAAUAAAUGACGCUAGUUAAUGCACACGUUGAGACGGCAAAAGUUCCACAGGGAACGUUAACGCCAUUCAAGAAGGCAUAUCUAAUGAAGUACUAAUAACACAAAAUUUUUGAUUCAACACUGACUACUUUACGGUUCUCACGUGCUCCCGUGGCCGAGUGGUUAACAAUUCACUGUUUGUUAGAUUUUUACACGGAUUUUGAAAUUUACACAGUUUAUUUUUACGCGGUUUUUUAUACGCGGCACGUAUCCCCCACGCAAAAAGCGACUCCAGUGUAUAUUGAGUCCGCAAACUCCCAAAAUCAAUGAAGCUGAAUUAGUAGGAUAUCAAUCCGAGUGAUUUGCUCGUCACGUACGACAUGAAUUGUGAACCAAAGAUAUGACAGACAACUUCAUUGGUGCUGAUAUACCGGCCAAUUUGUUGGCACAUUAUUUCGUCAUUGUCAUUCAAUCGAUAAGUAAUCACAUCGAUAUUCUGAAUUUGAAACACAGCCAUAUUGCUUCCCUUAUUCACGAACUUCUAUUUGUAUUUACUGCUUUUCGCCGAACAGUGGAACUCAACAUUAAUAUGAACAUUGAAAAUUUUGCUCAGCUAAGGCGAAUACGAUACUAGUCAAUGUUUGCCAGUCCGUCAACGUCAACGUUACUGAUAUUCAUCAAUGGUUGUCCGUCUAUUCGUUUUUAUAUUGGACAUUCACCUACCUUUGUGAUCGCGUUUUCCAUCUGCAACGCAAAGCGGUAAAACGUUGAAACUCGUUAAUCCAAUUUUUGACGGUCGCCAUCGAAGGAGAAGAGUUACCGUAUACAGUAUCCAAGGGCUCUUUAAUUUCGCUGUGCGGUUUCCCUACCAAAAACAAGAAUCGAAUCACCGACCGAUAUUGCUUUUUUUCAUUUUUCUAAAAUCCGCGGACACGCACGCUUCCACACACGGUCAAAACAAAAGUACGAGUCCGAUUCGACUGAAAUUUUGACAGUAGCCGUUUACGAGAAUGUUACAUUUAGUUACAUUUUUCGUAGAGUGUCAUCCCUAUAUAGAAAUUAAAGACAUAGUCCUUUAUCAAAAUGUAACCCUCUUAUUUUUAUAGAUAGAGGUAAACAUAGUUCUACAGGGUUUUCCAACUUUGAAUUCCGAAAGUAAAUUGAAAUAAAACACACUUAGAAUUCGAAUUUCGAUGAAACUUUUAAUUCAAAUUAAAGUUUGGUUUAUGCCAUUAUGUGUGAAAUACAACAUCAUUCAAAUGUUCACCUAGGGCUUCCUUGCACACCUUGAUCCGGAACAGGUAAUUUUCGAUAACUUUUCGGCACAUAUGGGGCGGUAUCUCGGUCAUAAAUUCACGAAUGUUGUCUUUCAAAUGUUCAAGAGUUUGCGGAGAGUUGGCAUAGACACGGUCUUUCGCAUAACCCCACAAAAAAAGUCUAGCGGGUUCAAAUCGUAUGAUCUGGACGGCCAAUUGGCAUCACCAAAACGCGAAAUUAUACGUCCCUCAAAUUUUGUUCGCAAUAUGGCCAUGUUCGGUCGUGUUGUGUGGCACGUGGCGCCGUCCUGCUGAAACCACAUGUCAUCCGUAUCCAUAUCUUCAAUUUGUGGCAAAACAAAAUCGGUUAACAUGCGGCCAUAGCGCUCACCAUUCACAGUUACCGUCUCGCCGUCCUCAUUUUCAAAGAAAUACGGCCCGAUGAUUCCACCAGACCAUAAUUCGCACCAAACAAUGACUUUUGGCGGAUGCAAUGGCCUCUCAACAAUCACGUGUGGAUUUUCUGAGCCCCAUAUACGGAAAUUUUGGGUGUUUACAUAGCCACCGAGCUCGAAAUGUGCCUCAUCGCUGAAGAAAAUUUGAUGCGAAAAUUUAGCAUUUUGCUGCUGUUGUUCGUUCACCCAAUCGACGUAUGCCCGACGCAUUCCAUGGUCACCAUGCUCUAAUUUUUGUACCAGUUGGUCUUUAUAUGGAUGAAGGUGCAAGUCCAAAUGCAAAAUUCACCACAAUGAUGUGUUUGACAAGCCCAAUUGCUGAGCACGCCGUGGAAUCGAAACAUUUGGGUCAUACGGAUCCAGUUUGUUCGAAUUUACGCACUACAUUAGCGAUUGUGUGCUCUGUAGGCCGUCCGUCCGUAAUGCUCGAAAAACAUUUGCCGGUUUUUCAUCAUUUUUAUAGUAUAAUUUAACAAAAUUAACACGUUGUGUGAUGCUAAAACGAUCCAUAUUGUAAAAUGGCAGACAUUCAACUAACGAUAUGACGCUUUGGUUGACAGCUAUGUCAAACGGUUGUCAGCUCAGGGCUGUAUACUUUAGGAAGCCCGAAAUGGAAAACCCUGUACAAUCUAAUAGCCUCAGUUAUUUGAGACUUCUUUGUAGAACAAAGUUUUGUUCUAUCUCUUGAAAUAACCGAUAUAGGACUUUUUUUCUAAGUUGCGUUAGAGUCACUAUGAAUAAAACUGUUUUUUUUUGUUCGAACUUUUAUAUUUCAAAUUCUACAUGCAAGCUGUCUUCAAAAGGCUUUCAGAACUUAAUAAUACAACCAUUUUGCGAUGCAGAACUUGUCAAUGGACCCUAUUAGAGAAAUCGAAUCGAUUACAAUCACUAUCACUAUCACACCGAGUAAAAUAUGGGAUUAUAGAAAUCGAAGAAAAUAGCUCGAUUCGUUACUCUUGCUCGAAGUCAGCGGUGGUACUGAAAUAUUUUGAAACGAUUGUAGUGUAGUAAAAAAAAAGAAAAUUGCUAGAAAAUGUAACGUACUAAUAUACGCUAGCAGCAGUAAGCAAUUUUUAGGUAGGAAAUUCGGUUGAAAGAAAUUCAAAGAGUAUGAUAAAAUUUACUUAUGAAAGUUAUAUGUAUCGUAGAAGAAACACUUACUUUCUGCCAUUCUGAACCAAUGCGCAUUGGUGGUCUCAGUGCAUUAAGCUCCUCUUUGAAUUCCACUAACUUUCGCUUCACCGGGAUCAUAUUAGAAUUGCCUCCACAGAAACCUCGAGCAAUGUCUACAUUCGCUUUCAAUGGUUCAACGAGCCGUUCAAACUGGUGGUGAUUUGUUUUUUUUUGACGUAGGACUACGUCUUUCAUUUCUAUACCGGGGUGUAAAAUCAAAGUUUCGAAAACGAAAGCGUUACGCCGGAGACCGAGAUUUUGAGCGUUAAUAGCUCCUAAACAACUGAACGAAAUGGUAUGAUAAACACUUCAUUCGAAAGAUAAAAUGUCUACGCGUUCUAUACUUGUUACUUUUUGAUCCAAAAACUUGUUUCAAUAGUCUUAAAAUUGCUUUCAAAACAGGCUAUUGAAAUCACCAAUCGGUAUAUAAGCGAGCGCCGCUCGGAAAUCAACUCAGUUCUAAUUGAACAGCGAUUGGAGCAUGUUGUCGCUGUUGUGGUGAAGCUCUUCAUUUAUCAUGAAAGCGCGGAUGAACGGUGUCACCAAGAGCCUGUUUGUGCACUUUAGGCCAGAAGGGAAUCCAUCAGGAGGAGAGUGAUGCCACAAACGGUUCCCCGGGAAGACAUCGCUACACACACAUACACGCGCGGAAUUCUUUCCGUUUGGAUGCCAUUCAGCAUUGAGAAAGUUCCAGAAAGAUCUAAUCUUUUCUGGAAAACAAUCUGCCAGUUUCUCUGGGAAUUUAAAAAUACAUUCAUGUGAAAGAGUUUAUUUGAAUGUUUUCUAUCCAUGUCACACUGUGACCAAAUAUUUUUCAAUCAAGUACUAUUAACAGGUGGUUAUCGAGUUAGUAUUAACCACUGGUGGGCUUCCAGUAUCGAGGAAAAUGUGGAAAUAUCUAAUCGUUACUGAAAAUAAUCUGCCAGUUCCUCUGGGAAUUUAAAAAUACAUUCAUGUGAAAGAGUUUAUUUGAAUGUUUUCUAUCCAUGUAACACUGUGACCAAAUACAUUUGGUUUUGUGAUUUUUCAAUCAAUCGCAAUUAACAGGAUAGCUUCAGAAGAUUAUUCUUCCCCAUCAGUAGGAUAUUUCCGUAUCCAAUAUUGUAUGCGCCCGCAAUCGAUUAUUACUCAGUCGCCGAAAGUUCCGAGCUCAGAGAGUUCAUUCCCCUCUAGUUUGCCUUCCAAAUUGCCAUCGUAAACCACACUUUCUCUCGAUUCAAUCACACACAAAAAGCAUACUUAAGCGAUAUUCUGGUGGUGAGACACAUUCAUUUUCAGGCAUUCUUUGUGUGGACACCGACUGGACAACAUCGUUGCUGGACGGGCUGGACGGCGAGGAAUCGAGUGCCUUUCUCAAGGCAAGAGGGUGGAGGUGGUAGCGCUGGAGUAGAGUAGAGUUUUCAAAGGGCCUUUCUCAAGGCUAGAGAGGAAUGAACUGCAAAUGUUUAAAGUCUCUAUAAUACAAGACCUUCCUUUUUUGAGACACAUUCAUUUUUCGUGAGGACAUCGACAAGACAACAUCGUUGCCUAACGUGCUGGAGGAGGUGGACGGCGAAGGAUCGACACAUACAUGCGCAGAAUUCUUUCCGUUUGGAUGCCAUUCAGCAUCGAGAAUGUUCCGGAAAGAUCUAAUCAUUGCUGGAAAAUAAUCUGCCAGUUCCUCUGGGAAUUCAAAAAUACAUUCAUGUGAAAGAGUUUAUUUGAAUGUUUUCUAUCCGUGUAACACUGUGACCAAAUAUUUUUCAAUCAAGUAUCGAGUUAGUAUUAACCACUGGUGGGCUUCCAGUAUCGAGGAAAAUGUGGAAAUAUCUAAUCGUUGCUGGAAAAUAAUCUGCCAGUUCCCCUUGGAUUUGAAAAUUACAUUCAAGCGAAAGAGUUUAUUUUAAUGUUUUCUAUCCAUAAAAUAUCCAUAUAAUACAUUUGGGUUUGUGAUUUGUCAAUCAAGUACAGUUAGCAGGUUAGCUUCAGAAGAUUAUUCUUCAGAACAAGGUUUUUCGUAUCCUAUAUUGGAUGCAUAAAACCUUGUGCCUCCAACGUAACGCUCUCGUUUUCGAAGUCCCCCAAAUAUUCAUUUAUUCAUUCAUUCAGAAUGGAUUUAGAUUCAACUUCGAACAAAUGAUCUCUAAAUCAACGAUAGUCCUAUGUCACCCUUGCGGUUAUACCAUAGAUAUAACCCACUUCCUGUUUUUUUGACGUAGAACUACGUCUUUCAUUAAGGGUGCCAAAUCAGAAAACAGGUCACGUUUUUAUGAAAUAAAGUUAACGUUAAUAACUAUUUUUGCCGCGAACGGCGAUGGCGAUUUACAUAUCAAACGAAUCGAAAAUUCCCUAAGAUUUGUUUGAUAUGCUAUACAAUACGAUUUCCUGGUGUGUAAAUUUUUUUUUUUCUUUAUUUUUGAGACUUUCAGCCUCCUGGGCUGGUUCGUCUCAGUUGGUGUGUAAAUGGUUAAAAUUCAUGAAAACUAUAAACGUUUCCAUUCCGCCAUACAUAUGUUCUGGUGAUUUGCGAACAUUUCUACCCGUGUCGUCAAUAACGAGCAACGAAGUGGAAAUCGUAAGAUUUAAAGUGAACAGAGGAAAAGAAGAACAAUGAAGGGAAAUAUUUGCCUAGAGUAUUCGCGUCAUCGAAGGUACGGUGUCGCUACCUAUGAAAGUUUCGCGUGUGAGUGAAAAAUAUGUAAACAAACCGUUGCAUAUUUUCUCUGUAAUUAAUAUUCUGAUUUCUCGAAAACUUGUACCGUGUUUAUCUUACAAUUAGUGGAAAUUGUUGAAAAAUAGUUUUUCUUAGCUGUUUCGAUGUUCCGAACCAAAAUUUAUUGCCAUUUAGUAGUGAAAAAAAGCCGUUGAAGUACACCCUCUGUCAAUCUACCUGCGAGAGAGAACGUGUGAAAUAUGGACGUCAAAAGCUGCGCAAAUUGUCCGGAGAACAUGCAAGUCGGACGAAAUUUGCUUGAAGCUGACUCCGAACAAUCUGCAAAAUUCAAAAGCCGUUUCGUUUGUGUCGUCCCCGGAUGUAAGCAGAGAUAUCGCCCCGGAAUUUCUUUUCAUGCCUUCCCUCCGAAAACGGACAAAACGCGGUAUCUAGACUGGAUCCAACGACUACGGCUAAAGGUAGAACCUACAAAAACCUCCCGUAUUUGUAGCCUCCAUUUCACCGUGUCGAACUUCUACUCCUAAGUCAACAAGCUGUGCCACUGAUCGCUUAAUUCUUAGGCCAUCAGCAGUUCCCGACUUGAAUUUGCCACAACCUCCCAUCAGCGAAGCCAGGAAAAGACUUAUUGAGGGCCGUGCUGAACGUGCUGCAAACCGUGCCAAAGUUGGGGCAGCGAUGGACCAGAGACAUGAUACACCAAACCUUUCAGAUCUUGCCAUCAGAGGCGAAUUAAUUACUUAUGAUUCAAAACACGUUAUUGCGCAUUUUGCACCAAGUUGGACUGUUUCGGCCUUUUCCAUAAGUGCGAAAAUACGAAUAAAAGUGCGCUCUAACAUCGAAUCAUAUUGGUGUCUUCAGCGCACUUAUUCUUCGAUUGAUAACGAAUAAGUGCGCUGAAGACAGCAAAUCGAUUUGAUGCAAGGUCGCACUUUUAUUCACAUUUUCGCACUUUUGAAAAAGUGUGAAACAGUUCAACUUGAUGCAAAAUGUGCAAUAAUAAAGAAAUAAAAUAAAACAUACUUAAGCAAAUGAUACAAAACAGCCAUGACGUGUUUGCACUUCCCUUUGCCAGCUUUACAGGAACACGAAAACAACCAUUUGGAGAAGGAGAUUUUCGUACGAAUUUUUAUUGUAUGGGGUUCCGAGCUUGGAGAUGAUGACUGGAGGCAGGACGAGAAAAUACUGAAGCCUUCAUCGUGAACUUCUUCAACACCAACUAUUAAAAGAUGUCCAGCUUUGAAUACUCUUUCGCCUUCGACGACUAAACGGCUUCCACCCGCAGCGUAAUCGAACACAUCCGCAAACUCCACAGCCAC